ACAGGUCUGUCGGUCGAUAUCGACGAGCCCGACGAUUUUGACGCUUCGAUUUGAUGUUGCUGCUGCUGCUGUUGCUGUUGCUGUUGCUGAUUGCUCUUUAAGUCUAUAGAGAAAUAGUCGCAAUGUUGUGAAAAAUGUAACAUUUAACGGACCUGUAGAAGGAGAUGAUGUCGUCGAGGUGGUGGUUUCGUGAUCCCCCGCAGACGAUCUGGCGUUCGGCUCUGGGGUCUUUUUCGGCUUCCUCUUCCUCGUCUGUAUACCGUCCUUUCGCAUCGCCAGCGGCCUAUUGACCCCGUGCAAUUUGAAGUAUAACCCGCAGGCGUUGCACACCGGCUCGCCGUCGUUGUUGCGCCUCCACAACGUGGUAGUGCGGGUGCCGCAGUUGGUGCAGCACAGCCCGAGUCGCCUCGUCGCCGUCUGAAAUUCCGACAUCUGUCCCAUUUGUAACGCACUUGCUGAUGCUGCUCGAGGCGAGGGCGAAGUGGGGAAGGAGUGAUAUUGCGCCGCCGUGGACGGGAUCGCCGGCCUCGACGAAGGGACGUAGACGGGCGCCUGGAGUUGUUGGCCGUGCUGUUGCUGCUGUUGCUGCUGAGACUGUUGGUAAUCGGAACUUGCGCCGUACCCGCUACUUCCGCCCCCGUGGAACAUCCUCUCCCACCGAGAGCUACCACCGCGGCAUCUGCUGAAAACGGAAAAUGUCCAAGGCGGCGACGGCGCCAGAUCAACGCGGCGCCGUACUUUUCAUGGCCCUCGACGGAUCACACGGAAUUUAGAUGAGAGCUUGGACGGAGAGCUGCGACGAGAGUUAGAAGGGUCCGACGCCACCAGGUAUAUAUCGGUAAUGGACGCCGAUUAAAGGAACCAAAUAGAGGAUGGAAGAGACUCAAUAUGCGUAGUUGUCUACAGAUGUACGCAUAUACAUUGUCGGCGUCGCGAGUGGUCGCGCGAUCACGAGGAGCCUUAAUCCGACGACAUUCGUGGAAGGAACGAGCAUCCGACGAUUACGACGAAGUACUUUGGUACAUCGCGAGGGAAUGUUCUCUCGUCUCGAAGAGGACCGGCUGGUGCCGAGGCGCCACGGCGCCGACCCGCGUAGAAGGGUUUCCUUGUAGGCCCUACGCACACACUCUCGCACGCGCGCACACACACAGUCACGCGUAUCACGCGCACGUUGCGAUCGUUUCUUCCUUUUUUCUUCUCUCACAAUUCAGCGAGGUGACAGAGAGAGUGGCCCAGGGCUCUCUCUCGUCUCGCUUAUCUUACCUUCGUGAUAUCGUCGAAUUAUUUGUUACGUUGUGUUACACACGUGAACGAAUAUCGCGUUAACAAUGGCACACGCAACUCAAUCUAUUCUCAAUCUAUUCGUUUUUUGGGGAGUCCAACUUCUUUUCUCUAGCUCUCUCCCAAUAAGUUAGAAAAUGAUUGCUCGAAGAUUUUAUCUGUACUCUUACAACAAUUAUGCAUAAUAUAUAUAAACUGUUUUUAUGCUGAUUAGCGGGAGUCAUUAAUAUCGACAGUUCUUUCUAUCUCGUUGGCAAAUUGCGAUUAAAAUAAAAGUAUUUAGAGCACCGCCUUUGUUUGUCAACAAUAUCUGAUAUUUACAAUAUUCGCGCGAAUCUUAUUCUCGCACAGGUAUACGUGACAUAUAAAGAUGCGGGAAUCGCGUGACCCGAUCCCGUAAAUUUGACGCGCAAUAAAUAAAUGGGGUCUCCCUCUGAAAAGAGACUCCAGUCACGAUCUAUCGAUCGCCGAACCGGCAAAUCCUGCCUUAGAUGUCAUGAGAAAAUGAGCGCCGGAAGUUCAUGCUUGAGAGCUUAUUUUAAAAUUUUCGCGCAAGUAUCGGCGAAAGAAAAUAUGAAAUACAAGAAAAGGCGUUUUACUUCUUUCCGCGCGAUGUAUAUGCAAAUCUGUGUGUUAUGCGAGAACAUUUAUGGAAAUGCAGUGUGGGAAAAAAAAGGUUACUCACCGCGAUGCGGUCGAUCCGGCAGAUUUUUCUAUGACUGGCGCAUACCCCCGAAGACGAAGAGCGAUCUUUCGAUUACACGUGUGCGAGUCUCUUCGAUUCAAAAACCGCAGUCAAGGUGAUCUUGUCGCGUGUUUUCCGUGCGCUUCUCUUUGCCUCUUUCUCUUAGCCUUUCGAGAGAAAGAAGGAAGAGAAGGUCGGGCGACCAGAUUAAGCCAAUAAACUAAUUUGACAGGCGAUUCAUUCUGUGGCCAAAAACGACUAUUCCCCGCAAAUACACACGAUGUUACUCGGAAAAUAAAUCAGCCAUAAGUUAUUACAGCUGAUUGAAAUUAACGCAUUAAUCUUCUAGAGUCGUUGAA
rnacentral:lncRNA from 1 species